rnacentral:rRNA from 1 species
AGUCAUAUGCUUGUCUCAAAGACUAAGCCAUGCAUGUCUAAGUAUAAAUGUUAUACAGUGAAACUGCGAAUGGCUCAUUAAAACAGUUAUAGUUUAUUUGAUAAUCAAACUUACAUGGAUAACCGUGGUAAUUCUAGAGCUAAUACAUGCUGUUAAGCCUGACUUCUAGGAAGGGCUGUAUUUAUUAGAUAACAAACCAAUAUUCCCCGUGUCUAUUGUGACGACUCAUAAUAACUGAUCGAAUCGCAUGGACUUUGUCCGCGAUACAUCAUUCAAGUUUCUGCCCCAUCAGCUUUCGAUGGUAGUGUAUUGGACUACCAUGGCUUUAACGGGUAACGGAGGAUUAGGGUUCGAUUCCGGAGAGGGAGCCUGAGAAACGGCUACCACAUCUAAGGAAGGCAGCAGGCGCGUAAAUUACCCAAUCCUGACUCAGGGAGGUAGUGACAAGAAAUAACGGACCGAAGCCUAUGUUUCGGGAUUGCAAUGAGUAGAAUUUAAACCCCUUUACGAGGAUCAAU